CAGAGUUGCAAAACUCCCAACCCUUUGUGAACGAACUAAACAGUUGCCUCGGCGGCGUGCCUCUCAGGGGGCUUGCCGCCGGAGGAAUGCAAACUCUAUAUUUUGAAUCUCUGAGUACUUAUUUAAUAAGUUA
rnacentral:misc_RNA from 1 species